UCCUCGAUAGCUCAUUUGGUUAGAGCGUGGUGCUGAUAAUGCCAAGGUUACAGGUUCGAUCCCCAUACGGGGCA